rnacentral:rRNA from 1 species
AUUGAACGCUGGCGGCAUGCCUUACACAUGCAAGUCGAACGGUAACGGGCCUUCGGGUGCCGACGAGUGGCGCACGGGUGAGUAAUAUAUCGGAACGUGCCCGAUCGUGGGGGAUAACGAGGCGAAAGCUUUGCUAAUACCGCAUACGAUCUACGGAUGAAAGCAGGGGACCGCAAGGCCUUGCGCGGACGGAGCGGCCGAUGGCAGAUUAGGUAGUUGGUGGGAUAAAAGCUUACCAAGCCGACGAUCUGUAGCUGGUCUGAGAGGAUGAUCAGCCACACUGGGACUGAGACACGGCCCAGACUCCUACGGGAGGCAGCAGUGGGGAAUUUUGGACAAUGGGCGCAAGCCUGAUCCAGCCAUGCCGCGUGCAGGAUGAAGGCCUUCGGGUUGUAAACUGCUUUUGUACGGAACGAAAAGCCUUCUUUUAAUACAGGAGGGUCAUGACGGUACCGUAAGAAUAAGCACCGGCUAACUACGUG